CUUCCCUGUGUCUACGGAUGUCGGACUGGCAGCAGCAUUCUUGGCAUGUGGCUAACAGGCAGCUGAACCAGGGAUGUUCAGCGGGGUUUGCUUUCGUGCUUUGCAGUGACUUCUCCAUAUUUCAGUUACCGCCAGUCAUUGGGGUAUAGAAAUGGCUCCCAGGAAUAUUCCAGCCUCCCACUGUGCAGAGUCCCUGGCUUGGUUGGAAGAGGUUGCCAGACUGGAAAUAAUUGUGAUAUGGAUACUUCCUAUGGUGCCCAAAAUCAGAAAAAUGUGGGUGGAGGAGGAGAAACCAGGUCUGCAGAAGUGUGUACACAGGACUUGCCCGGUUUAUGGUCAUCACUUAUCCCAAGUGCUGUCAUGGAAACCCUUC
rnacentral:lncRNA from 1 species